CCUACGGGCGGCAGCAGUGGGGAAUAUUGGACAAUGGGGGGAACCCUGAUCCAGCCAUGCCGCGUGUGUGAAGAAGGCCCUCGGGUUGUAAAGCACUUUCAGUGAGGAAGAACGCCUGGUGGUUAAUACCCAUCAGGAAAGACAUCACUCACAGAAGAAGCACCGGCUAACUCCGUGCCAGCAGCCGCGGUAAUACGGAGGGUGCGAGCGUUAAUCGGAAUUACUGGGCGUAAAGCGCGCGUAGGUGGCUUGAUAAGCCGGUUGUGAAAGCCCCGGGCUCAACCUGGGAACGGCAUCCGGAACUGUCAAGCUAGAGUGCCGGAGAGGAAGGUAGAAUUCCCGGUGUAGCGGUGAAAUGCGUAGAGAUCGGGAGGAAUACCAGUGGCGAAGGCGGCCUUCUGGACUGACACUGACACUGAGGUGCGAAAGCGUGGGUAGCAAACAGGAUUAGAUACCCGUGUAGUC
rnacentral:rRNA from 1 species